UACAGAGGUCUCAACCGUUGUUCGGAUUCAUUGGGCGUAAAGGGUGCGUAGGCGGUCGGGUAAGUCGGAUGUGAAAUCUCAGGGCUCAACCCUGAAACUGCAUUCGAUACUGCCGUGCUUGAGGACUGGAGAGGAGACUGGAAUUUACGGUGUAGCGGUGAAAUGCGUAGAUAUCGUAAGGAAGACCGGUGGCGAAGGCGGGUCUCUGGACAGUUCCUGACGCUGAGGCACGAAGGUCAGGGGAGCAAACGGG
rnacentral:rRNA from 1 species